rnacentral:misc_RNA from 1 species
GAUGAAGAACGUAGCGAAAUGCGAUACGUAAUGUGAAUUGCAGAAUUCAGUGAAUCAUCGAAUCUUUGAACGCACCUUGCGCUCCUUGGUAUUCCGAGGAGCAUGCCUGUUUGAGUGUCAUGAAACCCUCAAACCCAAGUUUUGGAUUUCGAUCCAUGCUUGAGUUUGGAUUUGGAUGUUUGCCGGUGAUGAACCGACUCAUCUUAAAAGUAUUAGCUUGGAUCUGUCUAUAUGACUGGUUUGACUUGGCAUAAUAAGUAUUUUGCUGAGGACAUCUUCGGAUGGCCAGGACCUAGACUACUGUCUGCUAACUAAACCAUCACUUUAAGUGCAUCUUUGGAUGUUACUCAUUGUGUAACUUUGACAUCUGGCCUCAAAUCAAGUAGGACUACCCGCUGAACUUAAGCAUAUCAAUAAGCGGAGGA